UGCCAAACAUGCAGUGGUUACUAUGGCAGUGGAAAGGAAAGUUAAACACACACACACACACACACACACACACACCAAAGUAGAGGCACGCCUUUAUCCAGAUGUGCAGCCGGGAGCAGAGAGAAAAGCAGUUAACCUACCCAGUGGGGCCUGCAGGAAGGAGGAAGACACCUCACUUUUCUGAAUCCACCACCAAAGAAGAGUUGGGAGAAGGCUCAUUCGGUAAAUCUCUUACUGUGCUAGCAUGUGGACCUGAGUUUGAUUCCCAGCGCCCGUGUGAGAAUCUGGGCACAAUGUCACACGCGGGAUUCCAGUGCAGAGGAGGCAGAAGCAGAUGGAUUCCUGAGGUUGACUGGACACUCAGUCUGUCCGCACUGGAGAACUUGAGGCCAGAGAGAGAUCCUGUCUCAUACCUCAAAAAGGAAUGACACCUGAGGAAUGACACCCCAGGCAGGGUCACUUAUUGAAUGACUUCUGACCUCCACACACAUAUAUGCACAUGUGUCUACAUAAAUAAACAUAGACACACACUGA